GAAAGGUGCUUGCAUCUUGAUUUAAUUUUGAACGAGUGGCGGACGGGUGAGUAACACGUGGGUAACCUGCCCUUAAGUGGGGGAUAACAUUUGGAAACAGAUGCUAAUACCGCAUAAAUCCAAGAACCGCAUGGUUCUUGGCUGAAAGAUGGCGUAAGCUAUCGCUUUUGGAUGGACCCGCGGCGUAUUAGCUAGUUGGUGAGGUAACGGCUCACCAAGGCAAUGAUACGUAGCCGAACUGAGAGGUUGAUCGGCCACAUUGGGACUGAGACACGGCCCAAACUCCUACGGGAGGCAGCAGUAGGGAAUCUUCCACAAUGGACGCAAGUCUGAUGGAGCAACGCCGCGUGAGUGAAGAAGGCUUUCGGGUCGUAAAACUCUGUUGUUGGAGAAGAAUGGUCGGCAGAGUAACUGUUGUCGGCGUGACGGUAUCCAACCAGAAAGCCACGGCUAACUACGUGCCAGCAGCCGCGGUAAUACGUAGGUGGCAAGCGUUAUCCGGAUUUAUUGGGCGUAAAGCGAGCGCAGGCGGUUUUUUAAGUCUGAUGUGAAAGCCCUCGGCUUAACCGAGGAAGUGCAUCGGAAACUGGGAAACUUGAGUGCAGAAGAGGACAGUGGAAC
rnacentral:rRNA from 1 species